GUGGUGGCGCAAUAGGCAGCGCGUUCGGCUGUUAACCGAAAGGUUGGUGGUUCGAGCCCACCCGGGAGCG
rnacentral:tRNA from 1 species